GCUGCCUGCUGUAGCCUCCAACCCCCAGGAAAAGUUUAGCAUGAAAGCCCAGUCUGCCCUACCCCCCAUAGGCAUAAAUCUCAUGGUUUCUCUCUCAAGAACACUGAACCGGACACGCAAACCGUGGAGGGGACUCCAUCCUUUCUGCAGGGCCGAGGAAAAAAUCUUGCCAGCAGAGGUCACUGACGCUCCAGUUUGCGAUUUAGCAGCAGCCCAGGCAGGAGGCCAAUCCCGGUUUUCCGUGUGCCAACAAACUCCCUUUGUGCCGAUUAGAACUACACUCCCGUGCCCCCUGGGGUGGAAGAGAUGAGGGUCUGCUAGCCACAACUCCACCACCUCGAAGAGACAGAAAAGGAGGAUGCAUUUACCUAAGGAGGACCAUUUACCUAAAAUGUCUGUUUAAAUUGUGUGCCGGAAUACUUUUCUCUCCCUUCGGUGGUUAGAGGCUCAUCGGGAAGACAAAAACUAUUUUAGAGACAUGAAAAUGCUGCAUCUUCUCUUGCGCAUUUGUGAGGAGGGUGAAAAAAUCUGCAACCCUUCACACUCAGGAGUGUCGCCAGCUCUUCCCGUCCUCCUCCCCGUUGCUAAAUGUGGUGCCGCUUAGCUGCACAGUUCCUCCCAUCCACCCACACCCAACUGUGGAGAAGAGCUUGCAGGGUCCAGACCAGAUCUUUGGGAAUUCCACCACACAACCAGGGGGAGGGGAGAGGGGUGGAAGUGGUAUAAGCCACACAGGUAGGUUGCAAGGAGAAAGAAUAAAAGAGGCCACGGAGAGCAGGGGGCAUGAAUGUGUUCAGAUGCAUCAUGUAGGAGAGGGAGAAGAAGGGAGAGAGUGGGUGGAUGGGAGAGCACACUAUUGGGGGGGAACGAGAGUGAGGAAUGGAAUGGUUGAAUAUUAGAGAAGAGGAAAAGUAUUUUGGUGGAAGAUGCUGUGGAUUACAUACUUGGAUCCCAUUCAUAUUCCUUGAGAUUUAAAAGUGGAAUUCCUGGAGCACCUGGGUGACUCCAUCAGUUAAGCGUCCGACUCUUGAUUUCAGCUCAGGUCAUGAUCUCAUGGAUUGUGAGAUCGAGCCCUGUGUUGGGCACUGCGCUGAUAGUGUGGAGCUGCUUGGGAUUCUCUCUCUCGCCCUCUCUCUGCCUCUUUGCCCCCCCCCUCAAAAUAAACAAAUAAACAAAUUUUUUUAAAGUAGAAUUCUUACCAGGACUUUGCUUUUUUGAACCCUACCUACUCAGGGUCUGAACCACAUGGAUUGCAGUUUUUGGCAGGUUUACAAACACAGACACCUGCCAUUUUACUGAAGAUGUAUUCAUAUAGAGCACGGAUUCUCAAUGGGAGGUGAUCAUGCCUCCUAGAGGCCACUCAGCAAUGUCUGGAGACAUUUUUGGUUAUCACAACCGGGAGAUGCUGUUGGCCAGAAAUGUUGCUAAACAUCCUACAACGUACAGGACAGUCCCCAAGAGC
rnacentral:lncRNA from 1 species